rnacentral:lncRNA from 1 species
AAACUUAAAGUUUUGCUGGAGAACAUAGUUUGCAAGAGAUGAGUAGAGGGGACAGUGAGAAGCAAAGGAAGAGACAGCAGAGCUCUAGGAGCAGAGACUCUUUAUAUCCUGGCACUAAUUCCUGCAGGGAUUUUUGUGUGAUGGCCUUGUCUCCUUACCUCAUGUCUGUGUCUGAUGGAGCAGUGUCUAUGGGAUUCUGAUACUUCCCUCUAACAAAUGCCUGUGCGAGGUGACACUUUUUAAUAACAUGUUUUUUUCACUGAGUAAUUCAUCAUACUUUUUUCUAUAUCGCCAUAUAUUCUCCUACAUUAUAAUUUUGAUGGGUGCACAGUAACUACUGUGUAUAUUCUGGUAUUUAUGGGAGAAGCGCAAUUUAUGGGAGAAGCUUGAGCUCUGCUAUUAAACAGCACUGAGUUCAAAUGCCCACCCUGACACUUGUUUGUUAUGUGAUUUGGACAAAUUAUUGAAACACCCUAUGUUUCACCCCCAGUUCCCUCAUCUGUAAAAUGGGCACAACAGUAAGUUUGCAUAAUAUAAUGAAUCUUAAAUUUUCCCAGUACAUUAUCUGUCACAUAAGUCAGGACUCGGUAAAUUUCACCUGUUAUUAUUAAUAAUCACAAAACAAGUCCUUGUUAUUGCUCAUAUAACAGCAUCCCUACAUUUGAGCAUUAGAAUUGCAAUGAACGUCCUUGUAGUCAAGUAUUUGUACAUGAUUAUUCUUUGGAAUAAAUGCCCAGACGUUGCAUUAUUGGCCCAAAGAUUAUGGGCAUUAAAAAUGUUUUUAAAACAUGCAUUGCCAUUGCUAUCUUUGACUCUUGUAAGUUAUCCACCACUCCCAGCCUUUACUGUCUUCUUCUUGACCACAGGUUUAGAGACAUGUUUCGUUCUCUGUCCAGGAUGUGGUCUAUGUUCAUCUUCCAACACAAUUAAAAUGUUGUCACAUCAACAUUGGAGUUGGGGCUCUUUGAGCUUAUGGAUGCUAUCCCGAAGAAGUCAAGACGGAUGCCCUUCUCUAAUGAGACUGUCUAGCAGGCAGAGAGACACUCUUUCCUGGCAUCUGGUUGUCACACGGUGUCCUUCAGCCUCUCUUCUGGACAAGCUGGACCAAUCAUUUUGGAGGAAAGAUGUCUUUGGUCUACAAUAUGAUAUUUGA